rnacentral:rRNA from 1 species
AGAGUUUGAUCCUGGCUCAGAACGAACGCUGGCGGCAUGCCUAACACAUGCAAGUCGAACGCUCUCUUCGGAGGGAGUGGCGCACGGGUGAGUAACGCGUGGGAACCUGCCUUGGAGUGGGGGAUAACCGAUGGAAACGUCGGCUAAUACCGCAUACGUCCUGAGGGAGAAAGAUUUAUCGCUCUGAGAGGGGCCCGCGUCGGAUUAGCUAGUUGGUGGGGUAACGGCCUACCAAGGCGGUGAUCCGUAGCUGGUCUGAGAGGAUGAUCAGCCACACUGGGACUGAGACACGGCCCAGACUCCUACGGGAGGCAGCAGUGGGGAAUAUUGGACAAUGGGCGCAAGCCUGAUCCAGCAAUGCCGCGUGAGUGAUGAAGGCCUUAGGGUUGUAAAGCUCUUUCGGCGGGGACGAUGAUGACGGUACCCGCAGAAGAAGCCCCGGCUAACUUCGUGCCAGCAGCCGCGGUAAUACGAAGGGGGCAAGCGUUGUUCGGAAUUACUGGGCGUAAAGGGCGCGCAGGCGGCCAAUCAAGUCAGAUGUGAAAGCCCCGGGCUCAACCUGGGAAUUGCAUUUGGGACUGUUUGGCUAGAGAUCGGGAGAGGAGAGUGGAAUUCCCAGUGUAGAGGUGAAAUUCGUAGAUAUUGGGAAGAACACCGGUGGCGAAGGCGGCUCUCUGGACCGAUACUGACGCUGAGGCGCGAAAGCGUGGGGAGCAAACAGGAUUAGAUACCCCCGUAGUCC